UGCACAUUUCAAGCAUGCAGCAAAAAAAAAAAUCGAUAGCAUGUGUAUCCGAUAACGGUUGUCCUUUUUUCCUUAGUAAAGGGGGAGAAUAUUCUGUGGCGGUUGUCCUUUUUUCCUUAGUAAAGGGGGAGAAUAUUCUGUGGCAAGGCUCCACAAGAAUGGGUGUAGACCUAGGUAGCACGGAUACGGAUACGGGAACGGGUACGGGGACGGAAAACGGCAAAAUCAAAAUUUCCGAAAACGGGCACGGCUUGGAUUCGGCAAAAAACAAAGUAAAUAAAUAUAAUACAUUUAAUAAAUAAUACUGCCUUAAAAAAAUUUCUACAUAUAAUCUUUUUGCACAAAAAGCAUUAAAAUUAGGUAAUAAGUUUUGCACCUUCUUAGAAUAAUAAAAUAUAUAAGGGGUCAAAAAGAAAAAAGAAAAAAGAAAAAAGAAAAAAAAAAUGUUAGCUGGACACCCAUAAGUUAUAACCUCUUCCCUAGAUAAGUCAGACUAUGAGAGAAAAUAGAAGGUUGCAGCACUACAAGUACAACUUUACUAGAAAAAUAAUCAAAUAUGCUGUACAGCUGUACUGUAAUGAGUUAAUGACUCAUGCUUUACCAAUUACCACGGUACCACCCUUACUUUUCACCUUCUCCUUCAACUAAAAAAAGUAAAUAAGACAAGAAACUGAGGAAAGGACAAUUCGAGCAUGAUCGGCGAGCACUUGGACUGACUGCCGGCGACGAUCGGCGACAAGGAGCAACGAAGAACUUUGAAGGAGUUUUCAGUUCAGGUGAGAGAGAAUUUGAAA